CCGGGCGACCGGCGCACGGGUGAGUAACACGUAUGCAACCUGGCCGUGACAGAUGGAUAACCGGGAGAAAUCCCGCCUAAUACAACAUAAUGCCGGGAGGGGACAUCCCCUGCCGGCCAAAGGGGGCGACCCCGGUCACGGAUGGGCAUGCGGCGCAUUAGGUAGUUGGUGGGGCAACGGCCCACCAAGCCGACGAUGCGUAGGGGUUCUGAGAGGAAGGUCCCCCACAUUGGAACUGAGACACGGUCCAAACUCCUACGGGAGGCAGCAG
rnacentral:rRNA from 1 species